GAUGAAGAACGUAGCGAAAUGCGAUAAGUAGUGUGAAUUGCAGGAUUCAGUGAAUCAUCGAAUCUUUGAACGCACAUUGCGCCCUUUGGUAUUCCUUAGGGCAUGCCUGUUCGAGCGUCAUUUAAACCUUCAAGCUAAGCUUGGUGUUGGGUGACUGUCCGCUUCACGGCGGACUCGCCUCAAAAUUAUUGGCGGCCGGUACAUUGGCUUCGAGCGCAGCAGAAACGCGAACUCGGGCCCGUCGUAUUGGCUCCCAGAAGCUAUCUUCACAAUUUUGACCUCGGAUCAGGUAGGGAUACCCGCUGAACUUAAGCAUAUCAAUAAGCGGAGGA
rnacentral:misc_RNA from 1 species